rnacentral:lncRNA from 1 species
UGGAAGCCCAGGACAUCUGGAACCUCCGUGGAAUCGAACCACGGACCUUGGAGUUGCCAGGCCGGCAUUCGGGAUAGGGAGCCCUCAGCAAAUACAACAACAGGCACAUAUUCAGGUUGUAACACAGAACUUUAUAUUUAGUACAACUGUGAUUCUUCACAAAACACAGGAUGAGUGUAGAAAAUGCCAAAUGUGGGACAUGGAAAAGGUCUGACAUAAUGGGCAUAUUUUGUUUACGCAGAUUUGGAACUUAAAAAAGAAAUCUGUUCUCAAUUACAAGAUGAGAACUAUCUAUUGUGUAAAGUUAAGGAAUCCAAAGAUUCCUUACAGGUGACAAAGUUUAAUAUGGUCAUCAAGCUUCCACCUCUAUGUAUUGUACUGUACUCCUUUUAUCCAAAAACCAUGUGUCAGCUGACUUACCUUCCUGGUUGCAAUGAAGAAGAAUCAUUAAUCAUAAGUGAAGAGGUUAACAUGGUCAUUUGGCAUCCACCUCCAUGUACUGUACUGUAUUCUUUCUAUGUGAAAAUCGUAUGUCAGCUGACUUGCCUUUCUGGUUGCAAUGAAGAAGAACCAUUAGAGUCAAAAUUAUUAAAUGGUGAAAAGGUUAAUGUGGUCAUCUAACUUCCACCUUCAUGUAUUGUCCUCCAUUUAACUGAAAAACAUGUCAGCUGAAUUACCUACCUGGUUGUCGAAAAUUAUUAAAAGAAUGUUCUGGUGUUCGUGACACGACCUGAGAGGUUUGAGAAGAAGAGCUACAUCCAAGUAACAGCCUAUUGUUUAUGUUCAACAGUGGGUCAGUGGAUCUUACAUUAUUAUAUCCCCAAAUGAUUGCCUGUGUUGACCAGCAGGCCUUGAAUGGCAAACAAGUGUCAAAUAGUUUUGAAGAUAGCAGUUACCCCACUUUAAGUGUCAUUCCAACAUCUCUGCAAGCAAGGGAUUUGUUUUGAACCCUCUUUAUUCUGGACUGGCGGCCACAGAAUUCUUUUUCCAUACGAGUGGACGCGAGGGUUUGCUUGAUACUGCCGUACAGACCUACAUACAUAAACGUAGAAUUUUUAUGGAGGAUCAAGGCAAACGAAUCCAGAAGGUGCGAGAGUGUUACAAGAAUGAAUAUAUAGUAGAAAACCAUUUGGAUUGCGUAACCAUUAGUCAAUUUUUUUCAGUUUAGUUAGUCAACUUUUCACUUGAAUGCCUCAAAUAAUUUUGAUUGUCAUACUAAGGAACGGUUGCCGGAGCCUUUUGCGCGCAGAGCAUUGGUGAACCUGGCACUCUUAAAGCCAAAUGACGCUAAAGACUUUUCGUUUUGCUUGUAUGGCAUCAAUGAACAUCAUACCGACAGCUCCUAUGAUUAAGGAAACCAUUUACGCCUCAAAAGCAACCAGUGCACUUGUUAUGGAUGAUGAAUUUAUGUAUCACGUAAGCUAUAUAAACAAAUACUUUUAUGCUUACAAUGUUUUAUUUUCUUAAUAUAGAUUUAUAAUCAAAUUGGAUCUGAAAGGAUUCUGGUUAGAAGAAUAUACCGAAAGAUUAUAACGCCUGGAAGCACGGAAUGGAAUUUCAUAUUUGACUAGUAUUUCCGUGUGUUACGGUAUAAAUUAUUUAAAAAUUGAAGUGCA